CAGGGGCAAAAUCAUAAUUUUACUAAAAUCCUGAUUUGAUAGUAUCAUUUGGUAGAACAAAUGAUUUGUAAUCUAUUGGUAAAAAUUUCAUUAUUUUUGGACUUAUAUUUUUGAAGUUAUGAAUGUUUGAAGUGCAUGAGUCGACUCAUGAGUCGACUCAUGGCACAAUGAGCUGCUUGGCACGCUAAAAUUUCCCUUGGCACGCUGGUUUUCUGGCUUGGCACGACCUGUGAGUCGACUCAUGAGUCGACCCACAAGGCAUGAGUCGAC
rnacentral:lncRNA from 1 species